AGAGUUUGAUCCUGGCUCAGGACGAACGCUGGCGGCGCGCCUAAUACAUGCAAGUCGAGCGGACUUCGUGCUUGCACGAAGUUAGCGGCGGACGGGUGAGUAACACGUAGGCAACCUGCCUGUACGAUCGGGAUAACUUCGGGAAACCGAAGCUAAUACCGGAUACAUCACAGCCCGCAUGGGCUGUGAUGGAAAGACUUGGUCACGUACAGAUGGGCCUGCGGCGCAUUAGCUAGUUGGUGGGGUAGAGGCCUACCAAGGCGACGAUGCGUGCCGACCUGAGAGGGUGAUCGGCCACACUGGGACUGAGACACGGCCCAGACUCCUACGGGAGGCAGCAGUAGGGAAUCUUCCGCAAUGGACGAAAGUCUGACGGAGCAACGCCGCGUGAACGAUGAAGGUUUUCAGAUCGUAAAGUUCUGUUGUAAGGGAAGAUCGUGACGGUACCUUACGAGAAAGCCCCGGCUAACUACGUGCCAGCAGCCGCGGUAAUACGUAGGGGGCAAGCGUUGUCCGGAAUUAUUGGGCGUAAAGCGCGCGCAGGCGGUUUUCUAAGUCCGAUGUGAAAGCCCACGGCUCAACCGUGGAGGGCAUUGGAAACUGGAAGACUUGAGUGCAGGAGAGGAGAGCGGAAUUCCACGUGUAGCGGUGAAAUGCGUAGAGAUGUGGAGGAACACCCGUGGCGAAGGCGGCUCUCUGGCCUGUAACUGACGCUGAGGCGCGAAAGCGUGGGGAGCAAACAGGAUUAGAUACCCUGGUAGUCCACGCCGUAAACGAUGAGUGCUAGGUGUUGGGGACUCCAUCCUCAGUGCCGCAGCUAACGCAAUAAGCACUCCGCCUGGGGAGUACGGCNGCAAGGCUGAA
rnacentral:rRNA from 1 species